rnacentral:rRNA from 1 species
GAUGAACGCUGGCGGCGUGCCUAAUACAUGCAAGUCGAGCGAACGGACGAGAAGCUUGCUUCUCUGAUGUUAGCGGCGGACGGGUGAGUAACACGUGGAUAACCUACCUAUAAGACUGGGAUAACUUCGGGAAACCGGAGCUAAUACCGGAUAAUAUUUUGAACCGCAUGGUUCAAAAGUGAAAGACGGUCUUGCUGUCACUUAUAGAUGGAUCCGCGCUGCAUUAGCUAGUUGGUAAGGUAACGGCUUACCAAGGCAACGAUGCAUAGCCGACCUGAGAGGGUGAUCGGCCACACUGGAACUGAGACACGGUCCAGACUCCUACGGGAGGCAGCAGUAGGGAAUCUUCCGCAAUGGGCGAAAGCCUGACGGAGCAACGCCGCGUGAGUGAUGAAGGUCUUCGGAUCGUAAAACUCUGUUAUUAGGGAAGAACAUAUGUGUAAGUAACUGUGCACAUCUUGACGGUACCUAAUCAGAAAGCCACGGCUAACUACGUGCCAGCAGCCGCGGUAAUACGUAGGUGGCAAGCGUUAUCCGGAAUUAUUGGGCGUAAAGCGCGCGUAGGCGGUUUUUUAAGUCUGAUGUGAAAGCCCACGGCUCAACCGUGGAGGGUCAUUGGAAACUGGAAAACUUGAGUGCAGAAGAGGAAAGUGGAAUUCCAUGUGUAGCGGUGAAAUGCGCAGAGAUAUGGAGGAACACCAGUGGCGAAGGCGACUUUCUGGUCUGUAACUGACGCUGAUGUGCGAAAGCGUGGGGAUCAAACAGGAUUAGAUACCCUGGUAGUCCACGCCGUAAACGAUGAGUGCUAAGUGUUAGGGGGUUUCCGCCCCUUAGUGCUGCAGCUAACGCAUUAAGCACUCCGCCUGGGGAGUACGACCGCAAGGUUGAAACUCAAAGGAAUUGACGGGGACCCGCACAAGCGGUGGAGCAUGUGGUUUAAUUCGAAGCAACGCGAAGAACCUUACCAAAUCUUGACAUCCUUUGACAACUCUAGAGAUAGAGCCUUCCCCUUCGGGGGACAAAGUGACAGGUGGUGCAUGGUUGUCGUCAGCUCGUGUCGUGAGAUGUUGGGUUAAGUCCCGCAACGAGCGCAACCCUUAAGCUUAGUUGCCAUCAUUAAGUUGGGCACUCUAAGUUGACUGCCGGUGACAAACCGGAGGAAGGUGGGGAUGACGUCAAAUCAUCAUGCCCCUUAUGAUUUGGGCUACACACGUGCUACAAUGGACAAUACAAAGGGCAGCGAAACCGCGAGGUCAAGCAAAUCCCAUAAAGUUGUUCUCAGUUCGGAUUGUAGUCUGCAACUCGACUACAUGAAGUUGGAAUCGCUAGUAAUCGUAGAUCAGCAUGCUACGGUGAAUACGUUCCCGGGUCU